rnacentral:lncRNA from 1 species
GGAUACAUGGGUGGGGCCAGCCUGUAUAACUCCAGGAAGUCAGAGGAGGAGCUUAACCUGAGCUCUCCUCCCAAACGGAUGUAUGCCCUAUACCACACCACCUACAAUGGGAACUCAACACUCUCCAGGAGUCUCCAUCACUACAACAGCAUGGAGGACAACUGCAGGUUACCACCAACAUACUUCCCAUACCCCCUCAACUCCAACAGCAACCAUCACCACCACCACCUCCACCAGCACCAUCACAGCCACCAGCACAAUCACCAACAUCAACACCAGCUGGGGCAGAAGCAGCUGGAGCCCCUCAUCCUACGUGACUUACCUCCUUAUCAGGCUGGCAUG